rnacentral:rRNA from 1 species
UGUUAGGGAAGAACAAGUGCCGUUCAAAUAGGGCGGCACCUUGACGGUACCUAACCAGAAAGCCACGGCUAACUACGUGCCAGCAGCCGCGGUAAUACGUAGGUGGCAAGCGUUGUCCGGAAUUAUUGGGCGUAAAGGGCUCGCAGGCGGUUUCUUAAGUCUGAUGUGAAAGCCCCCGGCUCAACCGGGGAGGGUCAUUGGAAACUGGGGAACUUGAGUGCAGAAGAGGAGAGUGGAAUUCCACGUGUAGCGGUGAAAUGCGUAGAGAUGUGGAGGAACACCAGUGGCGAAGGCGACUCUCUGGUCUGUAACUGACGCUGAGGAGCGAAAGCGUGGGGAGCGAACAGGAUUAGAUACCCUGGUAGUCCACGCCGUAAACGAUGAGUGCUAAGUGUUAGGGGG